GCCAAUUGCCUUAUCCAGAUUCUAGCCUUGCCGCUUUACUCCACCCUGGCGUGUAGCUUUGGCCUCGCGCAUCGCUCCCAUGCCGCCGCCGCUGCCUCGCCCACCCGCUGUGGACCUGUGGUGGAGCGUGAAAGGAAACCAAGGGGGAGGCCCGGAGGGGGAGGGGGCUGGUUGGCAAAUGCAAUGAAGAAGAUUUGUGUGUGAGACAUGCAUUCAACAGGACAAGUUUUUCAUGGCCUCAUGGAGUCAUGGCGGCCCAUUCCAGUCAUACCCUCAUCCAUUCAUCCGGUAUCGAAGAGCUCAGCUGACUGCAGAGUCAAGCCAAGCGUAUGUGAUGGGUCCUGGGUGUAGGAGAGGAUGAAUCGUGUUCGUGGAGAAGAGAUCCUGCGACUGUCGCGGGUCUCCAUAGGUGGUGACUUUUCUUCGGAAGCCAUUACUGCAGAACACACCAUCAGAAAGACAGAAACGACACCUUGCCCUUCACAUGGCUGGUGCCAGUGUUGGACUUGGCCCUAGCAUUUUUGUUUGUAUUUGAUAAUUAUUAUUUGAUUAUUAGUUAAUUAGACACAAAAGAUUCGUCUCACAAAUUAUAGACAAAUUGUGUAAUUAGUUAUUUUAUUUAGCUACAUUUAAUAUUUCAUGCAUGCAUUCAAAGAUUCGAUGUGAUGGAGAAUCUUGUAAGAUUUUGGAAUUUUGAAGAAAACUAAACAGGGGGUUGAACAGGA